rnacentral:rRNA from 1 species
GAUGAACGCUAGCUACAGGCUUAACACAUGCAAGUCGAGGGGCAGCAUAAAACUAGCUUGCUAGUUUUGAUGGCGACCGGCGCACGGGUGAGUAACGCGUAUCCGACCUACCCAUAACUCGGGCACAGCCGCUCGAAAGAGCGAUUGAUUCCCGAUAUGUCUUUAGAGUAGAUCUAAUGAUGAAAGAUUCAUCGGUUAUGGAUGGGGAUGCGUAAGAUUAGGUAGUAGGCGGGGUAACGGCCUACCAAGGCGACGAUCGGUAGCUGGUCUGAGAGGAUGACCAGCCACACUGGAACUGAGACACGGUCCAGACUCCUACGGGAGGCAGCAGUGGGGAAUAUUGGACAAUGGGGGCAACCCUGAUCCAGCAAUGCCGCGUGUGUGAAGAAGGCCUGAGGGUUGUAAAGCACUUUCAGUGGGGAGGAGGAUUCAUCGGUUAAGAGCUAGUGAAUUGGGCGUUACCCACAGAAGAAGCACCGGCUAACUCCGUGCCAGCCGCCGCAGUAAGAC